GACGAACGCUGGCGGCGUGCUUAACACAUGCAAGUCGAGCGGAGCGGCGAACGGGUGAGUAACGCGUGAGUAAUUGCCCCCCUCUCUGGGAUAACAGUUGGAAACGGCUGCAAAUACCGGAUAGUGGGGGAUGGGUCGCGUCCUAUCAGCUUGUUGGUGGGGUAGUGGCCUACCAAGGCGACGACGGGUAGCCGGCCUGAGUGGGCGACCAGCCACAAUAGGCUGCGAGACGGCCCAAACUCGUACGUGGGGCAGCGGGGGGGAAUAUUGCACAAUGGGGGAAACCGUGAGGCAGAAACGCCGCGUGCGGAAUGUCGGCCUUCGGGUUGUGAACCGCUUUCAGCCAUGACGCGGUAGUGGCAGAAGAAGCACCGGCUAACUACGUGCCAGCAGCCGCGGUAAUAC
rnacentral:rRNA from 1 species